UUGUGGACUGCAGAGAUAACAGAGAAAUUUGUAUUUAAUAGAAUACUCACGGUUAAUGUAUUGUGCUAACUGAAAAAAAAUCAUAUUUUGCAGUUGAUUCUAGCUUUAAACUUUUUUAUACAUGUCUAGAAAAGUAAAAUGAAGUUAUUUAAAAUGUGCUUAUGUUCUACUAUGCCUAACACAUAGAAAAUUUAAAACAAUGUAAGCCAAAAAUAGCCCCUAUUAUAAAUAAAGUAAAGUAUUUAAAAUCUGCCAUAAGGGAAAAGGGAAAGAUAAAAUCAGAUAUUGCAGCUGGGCAGAGUUUGAGUAUAAGGUAGUUGAGUUGUUGAAAAGAAUCUGAAAAAAAUGUUUUAAGUAUUUACUGUUAAAAUACAUUUAAAAAGGACUAGAGUAGGCAGUCUAAAUUCCUGGUUUUUUUUACAUGUAUUAUUGUCGUGAUGCUCAUUUUCUACUUAUUUCCCUUGUUCUCGAUAGCUUUGUUGCUUUCCAAGUGUAGCCCGAUGUUAAAAUCACCCAGGGUGCUUUAUAAAGAUGGGUAUUUUAUAGAUGAUCCAGUUUUACUGCUGAUGUAGGGCCUGACCAUCUGCAGAAUGAACCAAAUUUCCAAGUAGUUCCUUAUUUGUCUGUUCUUCCAUCAGUAAGGCUCUGAUGAUCGUAGCUUUAACUGUCUUGAUGCCGGAGGCAUUGGUCCUCCAGCUUCAUUCUAUUCUUCAACAUUGUGCUGGCUCCACUCCGCCUCUUGCCUCUGCACAUGAACUCUAGAAUCAGAUGUUCCGUAUCCACAAAAUAACUGGAGUGGCAUCGAAUCUAAACGUCAGGUUGGGGGGAAUUGACAUCGCCACGGUACUGAAUUUUCCUACCUGUGGUUAUGGGCUGUCUUUCCACUGAAUUUUUUUUCUUUUUGUUUAUUCAUCAGAGGAAAUAAAGAAUUUUGCUUUGUACAGCAGAAAUUUACAGAACAUUGUAAAUCAACCAUAAUAAAAAUGUUUUAAAAAUAAGGAAUUUUUGAGCUAGAAGAUAAUUAAAAAUAGAAUUUAUUCUGAUAUAAAAAAUCCUGAGAGGUUGUUUUCAUAAAGUCCAUGGUAAGCACUUACUUUUCUUAUGUGUCAAAGUGUAAAAUGAAGUCGAUUUGUUACUUGCCCAGGGCUGGUGGUGAAGAGUAAGCGAUUCCCUACGUAGUCGUCUCUGUUUCUGUGGCUUUGGAAAGUGAGUGCCUGGAUGUCCUCCCUCCCUCCCUUCUUUCCUUCCUCCCUCUUCCUUCUCUGUCUCCUUUCCCGUGGCAUUAUCUCAAUUGACAAACAUGGAUAUCAACCAUAUUAUCUUUUCACAUACACACCAUUUUAGUGUUUGUGUAGAGGAUAUAGGAAUUCUCUAGCUUACUGAAUUUUGCACCUGUUGUUGGUUGGAAUGAAAUUUCUACAAAGACAGACUUUAAUUAUUACAGUGUGUUGUUUAAAAUACACUGAAUAUGCUUUAAGGUCUACUGCAAAUUAAGGGUGAGUCCUUUGGAUAAGACUGCCCUUUGAAUCCUUUAAUUACAGCAAAAUAAAAAUAUCAAGAUGCCGAGAUACAAAAAUCAAAUGUGGUUUUUCACCCCUUCAUUCCACAUGAAAUUCAGUGCUCAAACCACACUUAAUUAACACAAACAUAGCCCGUUUAAAUCUCACUCACCAUUUCCCUGUGUAAGUACCAGGAGGCUUAGUUUUCCGUAAGGCCUUUGCUGCCAUGAGGCAGUUUUUGGAGGGAAUCUUUGGUAAUUCGGGCAUAAGUAAUUCCUUUAAUUUUGAUGCAUAAAGGAAAUGAAGUGUGAUGGUGUCUGUAAGUACAAAUAUAUUAAAAAAAAAUUGUAAUGGACCAAAAAAACUUGUAAAUGACCGAUCCUGCAAGAUGUCUCUGCCAUUCAUCAGUUUUGAGCACUUGUAAAAUUUGUAAAUCAUAAGAACAGAAUAUUAAUGCAAAUAAAUUUCUUUAAAAAUUGCAGAGUUAUUGUGUCCAGUGAAAUGCAAUUGAAUAUUGCCCUGUGAAUGUGACUAAAUCUGGCUGUUUUACCUAAAAGUGACUUUAAAUUACUUUUUGAAGUGAUUGUAAUAUCUUACUGUUUCUCCUAUUAAUUAGUGAUUUAUGUAAAAUGCUUCCUAUGUGUUCAUUUUACAUCUGUAUGAACUUGUAAUUAUUUUAUUAUGCUAGUAUUUAUCAUUAAUUUACCUUCUAGACAAAAAGCACUCUCAACUUUCUAGUAAGCGGCAAAAGCUUAUUUGAAAUUCUUUUCAAUGACUUGUUUUUCAUAAUAGAUCGGGAGCGCUUUCUAGCUAUCCCUUGAACAUAGCGUAUUAAAUCUGCGCUAAUAUCCCCCUUGCACUGGGACCCGCACCUCCUCUAAACCCUACACCGUUCUUUCCAGGCUCAGGACAUCCGCCUCGGUAAAUAAGACCCAUAUUUGAUGUGGUCACUGUUAUUCUUGAUGUAAUUGCUUCAACUCACUUAUCAAAUAGAGUCCUUUUAUGGUAGAAGGGAAGCUGGCUGCUUUUAUGUUAGUACUGCUGUAUUAUAUCCGUGUAGAUAAUAUUUCUCAAUGAACUUUGUUUUAACAAAUCUAGCCUUUAUAAUUCAUAAAUAUCUAAUUAAUGAUAUAGUCAAGAUUGAUGAACGUGCCAUUUGGUAUUUUAUUGGUUGAUUUAGAAAUGAGAAAAGUGAAAAGGCUUGAAAUUGAAAGAAAUUUUUAUUUAUUAGUCAUGGUGACUAAAUAAAGAAAAGGAAAGUGAGAUAAGUUACUAGAAUUGCUACAAAUGAAAAUUUUAGUUUCCUAAAAACCCAGAAAGCAGGAACACUAAAGUCUGCUUAAUAUGCAAGAAAGAUACCUGCUUUAUAUUUAGAAAUCAUUUAUGGUAAUCCUUAAGAGAUUAUUUUUCCUUUCUAUAGUUUGUUCUGAUUAUAAACAACCCUAGCCUCCCUCUUCCACCAAAACUUUCUAACUGAGCAAGAGGAUUAAUUCAGUAAAGAAAGAUGUCAAGCCUGCAGACAAGAAAAUGGAUCAAAUCAUGGUUAGACAGAUUAACCAAGUAAAAAUACAGCAGUUGGAAUUUAUUAUAAAAGCAAAUAAUAAGAGAUCCUCCAAGAAACAGAAAACUUAAAAAUAGUUCUCAGUGUGGGAAUAAGGGGGCAUGGAGAGAUUUUCUUUAUAUUUAGCAGAAACUGGGAAAACACAACUGUCAGAUUAAAUGUUCCUUGUGAAGUUUUAGAAAUAGGAGGAAAAAUAAAUUAGGUAAUUACAGAAAAUUUUCUUCAAUUGGUUUCACUGUAUAUCACACACACACACCCCCUGUUUCUCUUUUACAAAUGUAGGGCUUUCUUUUUUAAAAGCUAAGGCAGAGAAAGAAGGCACAUUACCCAAAAGUCCAUAUGAAGCUACUUCAUUUUCGAGUAGCGAAACCAUAAUUGGAAUGAAAUUUAUGACCGUGAGUUUAUAAAACGCAUUACUUUUCACUCAUUGUCAACAUUAGAACCUAAGGCCCUCAUGAAAAUAGAACCUAAAAGAAUUCAUUUGAAAGCAGGGGAAGUUUGCAAGAUGAAGCAGAGGAAGUGCAGCCAGGCAGGGCACAGUGCAACACACCUGGGAGGUGAAGACUGGGUGGAGGACAAGAGCUUCAAAGAAAAUUCCGCCCUUCGGGUAUGUUGGCUUCAGAAUUCUGUCUGGCACUAAAACUGUAGAACUCUGUGGUAUAGUUCAGACUAUCUACACAGGAUGAUAAACGCCUCCUACUUCUUUCUAUGUGUACCCAAGAAUGUUGCCUUUUAUUUUACACUUGUUUUUCAAGUGAGGCUUGAUUGGAUGAAAAUAUACGUUUGGAAAAAAUUCCUCUGUUAUCCCAACAUUCCUUAUUCACGAAUUUGGGCAGCGAUCAAGAUUAGCUUGAAAGAGGUGCGUUUAUUCCAAGAUCUCGCUUCCUUUCCUGUCUGGCUUCACUCUGUUGAUCCACAAUUAUUUUCAUAAUAUUUUAUUAUGAUGCCUCAAACUCAGGACAAGUCUCUGGAGGGAAUUGGGUUCCAAGGCAUGGCCAUCAUUAGAAGACAAUGUGCUUGUUUUCAUUCCAGCAGUCUUAGCUUUGUUAAAGGCUAAAUGGAAGAAAUUAACAUACUGCAUGCCUUACAAAGAAAAUUGUGUCUAAUUAGGCUUCUCAAAUUAUUCUGUGAGACAUUGAUUGGACUGUAAAUAUGCUUUAUAUCAGUUACCCUCAGCUAACAUUUAUCAUGUUUUAUUGUAGUUAAAGAUGGUCUAUUAAUUGAAAUAAAAUUAUUCUACUAAAUUAAAGUAAAUAGAAUUACUUGGGGGAGCCAGGAUAUUCCCGAAACCAUUCAUUGUGGGCAGAAACUAGAAGUAGUAGGAAGAGCCAAGUGUCUAAACAUCUAAACUGUAGCAUUCGAAUAUCGAUGGCACCUUUGGGGCUAAAUAAAAUUCGCUUUAGAAGAAUCUUAAGAAAUUUUUCGUGUUGAUGAUAGUAUCAAGGCUUGCAGUAGGCAGAGUAAUAGCCCCCCAAGAUGGCCAGCCCGGAGUCUCUGUGAUCUGUGGAUCUAUUAACUCACACAGCAUAGAGGGGUUUGCAGGUGCAAUUGAUGUUAAGAGCCUUGCUGUGGAAAGAGUAGCCCCGCUGAAGAAAAGUCAUUAUAAGACUCACAAUCACAGAUCUCUUUAAAAGGAGAGCGCUUUUCUCACGUGUGCUGAGAGAGGCACGAUGGGGGCAGGUGGUUAGAGAGACGCAACAUUGCUGAUGAUCAAGAGAAGGAGCUGGGAGCCAAGGGCACAGGCAGCCCUGAGAAGCUGGGAAGGUUCCAGGAGGAACACAGCCUGGCCAACCCCAGCAUUUUAACCGGAGAGAUCUAUGUGGAAGUUCUGAUGCAUAGAAUGGUGAGAAAAUGAAUAAGUGUGUUCCUCGCACCACUAGAUUCCUGGUAGUCUGCUCUGGCAGUGGGAGAAAAUUGGCGCAAGACCUCAUCCUGGCAUAGAAAAUCUCAAGGUAACCCUGAGAGUUUAGAAAAGCUCUAUGAAGUGGUUAUAAUUCACCUGUGUUUUUUGGUUAAAAAAACAAAAAAAAGCAUAACUCUCUAGGGACUUAACAAAAUUACACCUGGACAGAUAAUUAAAUGAGGAACUAUAGACCUAGAAUUGGGUUUUUGUGCCUGUGGAUAUUUACCAGCUUCUAAUUUACAGAUUUGCAUGUGAAAGGAAAACCCCAGUCUUAAAUUCUUUAAAUUCUCUGCUUUUCAGGACUCUCAUGAUUAGGUUGGCCCCAGGUUAACCCUCCCCACCUCAAGAUCCUUUUGCUUGUAUAACAUAAUAUUUCAUAAACAGAGCAUGGGAUUGAGAGAAAGGAUUUAAUGUUUGGCCUUUCAUAGAGAUUUCUGUUUAUAAACUUUGAAAUCUUCUGUCUGUUUCACAAGGUGCGUUUGCGUGAACGCAUGAACUCAUGAACUCAAGUAUUCAUGGUUAUUAACACUCUAGCAACCAAAAGUUAUAUUUUAAUUGGAAAAAUUGGAGCCUAAAUCUUACGAAUUAAUUGAAGUCUUUCUACCAUUGAAAAUAAGUUAGAAGUAUCAUACAGUUUUACCACUGUUUAAUUUCUGAAAGCAUCUAAAAAAGAUGAAAAGUAACAGAGCAAUGGCAUUUAAAGAGUUUUUAGAUUUUCCCAGAAGAUCAUGGCUUUAGAAAUCUAUGAAGUCCUUUACCCAAUUUACAUUUGAAUUAAAAAUUAAAGAAAAUACUUGUAACGUUCAGAUUACUUGAUGUC
rnacentral:lncRNA from 1 species